GAUGAACGCUGGCGGCGUGCCUAAUACAUGCAAGUCGAGCGAACGGACGAGAAGCUUGCUUUUCUGAUGUUAGCGGCGGACGGGUGAGUAACACGUGGAUAACCUACCUAUAAGACUGGGAUAACUUCGGGAAACCGGAGCUAAUACCGGAUAAUAUUUUGAACCGCAUGGUUCAAAAGUGAAAGACGGUCUUGCUGUCACUUAUAGAUGGAUCCGCGCUGCAUUAGCUAGUUGGUAAGGUAACGGCUUACCAAGGCAACGAUGCAUAGCCGACCUGAGAGGGUGAUCGGCCACACUGGAACUGAGACACGGUCCAGACUCCUACGGGAGGCAGCAGUAGGGAAUCUUCCGCAAUGGGCGAAAGACUGACGGAGCAACGCCGCGUGAGUGAUGAAGGUCUUCGGAUCGUAAAACUCUGUUAUUAGGGAAGAACAUAUGUGUAAGUAACUGGGCACAUCUUGACGGUACCUAAUCAGAAAGCCACGGCUAACUACG
rnacentral:rRNA from 1 species